CCUACGGGCGGCAGCAGUGAGGAAUAUUGGUCAAUGGGCUCACGCCUGAACCAGCCAAGUCGCGUGAGGGAAGACUGCCCUAUGGGUUGUAAACCUCUUUUGUCAGGGAGCAACGCCGGCUACGUGUAGCCGGACUGAGAGUACCUGAAGAAAAAGCAUCGGCUAACUCCGUGCCAGCAGCCGCGGUAAUACGGAGGAUGCGAGCGUUAUCCGGAUUUAUUGGGUUUAAAGGGUGCGUAGGCGGAAUGCCAAGUCAGCGGUAAAAUCGAGAGGCUCAACCUCUUUCCGCCGUUGAAACUGUCGGUCUUGAGUGGGCGAGAAGUAUGCGGAAUGCGUGGUGUAGCGGUGAAAUGCAUAGAUAUCACGCAGAACUCCGAUUGCGAAGGCAGCAUACCGGCGCCCGACUGACGCUGAGGCACGAAAGCGUGGGUAUCGAACAGGAUUAGAUACCCGAGUAGUC
rnacentral:rRNA from 1 species